CUACGGGCUGCUCCAGUGGGGAAUAUUGCACAAUGGACGAAAGUCUGAUGCAGCAACGCCGCGUGGAGGAUGACACAUUUCGGUGCGUAAACUCCUUUUAUAGGUCAAGAUAAUGACGGUAGCCUAUGAAUAAGCGCCGGCUAACUCCGUGCCAGCAGCCGCGGUAAUACGGAGGGCGCAAGCGUUACUCGGAAUCACUGGGCGUAAAGAGCGUGUAGGCGGGUUAAUAAGUCAGAAGUGAAAUCCAAUGGCUCAACCAUUGAACUGCUUUUGAAACUGUUAACCUAGAGUAUGGGAGAGGUAGAUGGAAUUUCUGGUGUAGGGGUAAAAUCCGUAGAGAUCAGAAGGAAUACCGAUUGCGAAGGCGAUCUACUGGAACAUUACUGACGCUGAGACGCGAAAGCGUGGGGAGCAAACAGGAUUAGAUACCCGCGUAGUC
rnacentral:rRNA from 1 species